rnacentral:misc_RNA from 1 species
GAUGAAGAACGUAGUGAAAUGCGAUAAGUAAUGUGAAUUGCAGAAUUCAGUGAAUCAUCGAAUCUUUGAACGCACAUUGCGCCCGCCAGUAUUCUGGCGGGCAUGCCUGUUCGAGCGUCAUUUCAACCAUCAAGCCCCCGGCUUGUGUUGGGGACCUGCGGCUGCCGCAGGCCCUGAAAACCAGUGGCGGGCUCGCUAGUCACUCCGAGCGUAGUAGUUACAUCUCGCUCAGGGCGUGCUGCGGGUUCCGGCCGUUAAAAGCCUUAUUUACCCAAGGUUGACCUCGGAUCAGGUAGGAAGACCCGCUGAACUUAAGUAUAUCAAUAGCGGAGGA